rnacentral:tRNA from 1 species
UGCGGCUGGAACAUCUCAUUUUAGAGCGUUGAAGAACGUUAAACAAAUAAGUAUCGAGAGAUACACAGAACUUACUUAAAGUUCAGCUUUAGUUUUUUGUUUGGUUGGUUUAUAAGUAAAAGGAAAAAGUUAGAAGUAAGAAGAGCCAAGUGUACUACCUUGGGUGAUCAUAUUACUGAUUACUUAUUGCCUAUUUACUUAUAAUUUAAAUAUAAAAAAUAUAACCCACUAGAAAUUAGUAUAGGGAAAGAGAUACAAGAGCCGAGAGCUGGGAACCAAGACGAAUGUAAAAGUCUUGUAUCUAGCAUCUAGGAUCUGUUAGUCUAGAAGACAGUCUCGUAGCUCAGCUGGUUAGAGCGCUACACUGAUAAUGUAGAGGUCGGCAGUUCGAGCCUGCCCGAGACUACUAAUUGAAAAGACGGGAAGACAUCAGAUAUGAGAUAUCAGACAUUCAAGUCUGAGAUCUGAAAUCUGAAAUCUUUUAGUCUAACUAGAGGGGGAAUUAGCUCAGCUGGCUAGAGCGCCUGCCUUGCACGCAGGAGGUCAAGGGUUCGACUCCCUUAUUCUCCACAGAGUGGAAGUUUUAAUCUUAAAUAAGCAGAUAGAGCCAAAAACAAUAUUUGCGGAUUAAAACAGAAAUAGCAUUAAAGAUCAUUGACAUUAACGGUAAAGACAUCACAAAGAGAAAACCGAGC